GAUGAACGCUGGCGGCGUGCUUAACACAUGCAAGUCGAACGGACAGGCCCUGCUUUUGUGGGGUGCUCGAUUGGCGAACGGGUGAGUAACACGUGAGUAACCUGCCCUUGAAUUUGGGAUAACUUCAGGAAACUGGGGCUAAUACCGGAUAGGAGCUCCUGCUGCAUGGUGUGGGUUGGAAAGUUUCGGCGGUUGGGGAUGGACUCGCGGCUUAUCAGCUUGUUGGUGGAGUAGUGGCUUACCAAGGCUUUGACGGGUAGCCGGCCUGAGAGGGUGACUGGCCACAAUGGGACUGAGAUACGGCCCAGACGCCUACGGGAGGCAGCAGUGGGGAAUAUUGCACAAUGGGCGGAAGCCUGAGGCAGCAACGCCGCGUGCGGGAUGACGGCCUUCGGGUUAUAAACCGCUUUGGCCGGUGACGAAGCGGGAGUGACGGUAAUGGGUAAAGAAGCACCGGCUAACUACGUG
rnacentral:rRNA from 1 species